GAUGAAGAAUGUAGCGAAAUGCGAUAAGUAAUGUGAAUUGCAGAAUUCAGUGAAUCAUCGAAUCUUUGAACGCAUCUUGCGCUCCUUGGUAUUCUGAGGAGCAUGCCUGUUUGAGUGUCAUUAAAUUCUCAACUACACUGACUUUGAAUUGGUGUGGCUUGGAUUUGGGGGGAAAAUUGUUGUGGGCUUUUUGUAUAGUCUGCUCCCCUGAAAUUGAUUAGCGGUACCUUUGUGGAACUGUCUACAGGUGUGAUAAUUAUCUACAUCUUAGACAUCUGCUGGAAUGCUGCUCUCUAAACCUUACUUGUAUUGACAAUCUUGACCUCAAAUCAGGUAGGACUACCCGCUGAACUUAAGCAUAUCAAUAAGCGGAGGA
rnacentral:misc_RNA from 1 species